AUUGAACGCUGGCGGCAGGCUUAACACAUGCAAGUCGAGCGGAGAUGAGGUGCUUGCACCUUAUCUUAGCGGCGGACGGGUGAGUAAUGCUUAGGAAUCUGCCUAUUAGUGGGGGACAACAUUCCGAAAGGAAUGCUAAUACCGCAUACGCCCUACGGGGGAAAGCAGGGGAUCUUCGGACCUUGCGCUAAUAGAUGAGCCUAAGUCGGAUUAGCUGGUUGGUGGGGUAAAGGCCUACCAAGGCGACGAUCUGUAGCGGGUCUGAGCGGAUGAUCCGCCACACUGGGACUGAGACACGGCCCAGACUCCUACGGGAGGCAGCAGUGGGGAAUAUUGGACAAUGGGCGGAAGCCUGAUCCAGCCAUGCCGCGUGUGUGAAGAAGGCCUUUUGGUUGUAAAGCACUUUAAGCGAGGAGGAGGCUACCUGGAUUAAUACUCUAGGAUAGUGGACGUUACUCGCAGAAUAAGCACCGGCUAACUCUGUGCCAGCAGCCGCUGUAACAC
rnacentral:rRNA from 1 species